UUGAAAUGGUUUGUUGUAGUUUCUGAAAUGUUUUAGUUCAUCUCAGCUUAAACAUAGGAAUCCCACACCGAAACAAUUCGAUUUGGUAUAACUUCAGAAAUAAUUCUAGACUUUUUAGAACGUUCAUCGACUAAGGGCUAGUCGAAUCCAAUGGGUUCAAUAAUCAAUCAAGGAUUUAAUAUUCAUCUCAAGCUGUGGCACAUUAACAUGUCAUAAUUCAAUAAUUCUG
rnacentral:lncRNA from 1 species